AAAUUUGCAGAGCGUGGUUUAUGUACCCUUGCAGUAGCAUUCCAGACGUUCUAGAUGGAAACAAAGAGAGUAUAGGUGGCCCAUGGCAGUUUAUUGGCCUUUGGCCUCUGUUUGACCCACCCUAGGCAUGACAGUGCAGAAACAAUACGCAGGGCACUUAACCUUGGAGUCAAUGUUAAAAUGAUUACAGAGCACAAGUACGAGAUUGUGAAACGUUUGCAAGCUAGGAAACAUAUUUGUGGAAUGACUGGUGAUGGAGUGAAUGACGCACCUGCACUCAAGAAGGCCGGCAUUGGUAUAGUUGUUGCUGACGCAACUGAUGCAGCUCGGAGUGCAUCUGAUAUUGUUUUAACAGAACCUGGCCUUAGUGUUAUUUUCAUUAUUGUAUUAGUGAAUGUUGCUCCUGAAAAGAGAAUAAAAUAUUAGUUC